rnacentral:rRNA from 1 species
GACGAACGCUGGCGGCGUGCUUAACACAUGCAAGUCGAACGGAAAGGCCCUGCUUGCAGGGUACUCGAGUGGCGAACGGGUGAGUAACACGUGGGUGAUCUGCCCUGCACUUCGGGAUAAGCCUGGGAAACUGGGUCUAAUACCGGAUAGGAGCCAUUUUUAGUGUGAUGGUUGGAAAGUUUUUUCGGUGUAGGAUGAGCUCGCGGCCUAUCAGCUUGUUGGUGGGGUAAUGGCCUACCAAGGCGGCGACGGGUAGCCGGCCUGAGAGGGUGGACGGCCACAUUGGGACUGAGAGGCGGCCCAGACGCCGACGGUAGGCAGCAGUGGGGAAUAUUGCUCAAUGGGCGCAAGCCUGAUGCAGCGACGCCGCGUGUGGGAUGACGGCCUUCGGGUUGUAAACUCCUUUCGCUAGGGACGAAGCUUUUUGUGACGGUACCUAGAGAAGAAGCACCGGCUAACUACGUG